rnacentral:rRNA from 1 species
GACGAACGCUGGCGGCGUGCUUAACACAUGCAAGUCGAACGAAGAACCACCCUUCGGGGUGGGGACGAGUGGCGAACGGGUGAGUAACACGUGGGCAACCUGCCCCUCGCUCUGGGAUAACCCCGGGAAACCGGGGCUAAUACCGGAUAUUCACCUCCGCAGGCAUCUGUGGAGGUGGAAAGGAUUCUGGCGAGGGAUGGGCCCGCGGCCUAUCAGCUUGUUGGUGGGGUAACGGCCUACCAAGGCGACGACGGGUAACCGGCCUGAGAGGGCGACCGGUCACACUGGGACUGAGACACGGCCCAGACUCCUACGGGAGGCAGCAGUGGGGAAUAUUGCGCAAUGGGCGAAAGCCUGACGCAGCAACGCCGCGUGAGGGAUGAAGUACGUCGAGAUGUAAACCUCUUUCAGCAGGGACGAAGCGAAAGUGACGGUACCUGCAGAAGAAGCGCCGGCUAACUACGUG